GAAAAGCAGGGGAUCGAAAGACCUUAUGCUUUUGGAGCGGCCGAUGUCUGAUUAGCUAGUUGGUAAGGUAAUGGCUUACCAAGGCGACGAUCAGUAGUUGGUCUGAGAGGACGGCCAGCCACACUGGGACUGAGACACGGCCCAGACUCCUACGGGAGGCAGCAGUGGGGAAUUUUGGACAAUGGGCGCAAGCCUGAUCCAGCAAUGCCGCGUGAGUGAAGAAGGCCUUCGGGUUGUAAAGCUCUUUCAGUCGAGAAGAAAAGGUUGUGACUAAUAAUCAUAACUCAUGACGGUAUCGACAGAAGAAGCACCGGCUAACUACGUGCCAGCAGCCGCGGUAAUACGUAGGGUGCGAGCGUUAAUCGGAAUUACUGGGCGUAAAGGGUGCGCAGGCGGUUCUGUAAGUCAGAUGUGAAUCCC
rnacentral:rRNA from 1 species